rnacentral:rRNA from 1 species
GACGAACGCUGGCGGCGUGCCUAAUACAUGCAAGUAGAACGCUGAAGCGAGGAGCUUACUCUUCUUGGAUGAGUUGCGAACGGGUGAGUAACGCGUAGGUAACCUGCCUUGUAGCGGGGGAUAACUAUUGGAAACGAUAGCUAAUACCGCAUAACAAUGGAUGACACAUGUCAUUUAUUUGAAAGGGGCAAUUGCUCCACUACAAGAUGGACCUGCGUUGUAUUAGCUAGUAGGUGAGGUAAUGGCUCACCUAGGCGACGCUACAUAGCCGACCUGAGAGGGUGAUCGGCCACACUGGGACUGAGACACGGCCCAGACUCCUACGGGAGGCAGCAGUAGGGAAUCUUCGGCAAUGGGGGCAACCCUGACCGAGCAACGCCGCGUGAGUGAAGAAGGUUUUCGGAUCGUAAAGCUCUGUUGUAAGUCAAGAACGGGUGUGAGAGUGGAAAGUUCACACUGUGACGGUAGCUUACCAGAAAGGGACGGCUAACUACGUG